rnacentral:rRNA from 1 species
AUUGAACGCUGGCGGCAUGCCUUACACAUGCAAGUCGAACGGCAGCAUGGAGAGCUUGCUCUCUGAUGGCGAGUGGCGAACGGGUGAGUAAUGCAUCGGAACGUACCGUGUAAUGGGGGAUAACGUAGCGAAAGUUACGCUAAUACCGCAUACGACCUGAGGGUGAAAGCAGGGGAUCGCAAGACCUUGCGUUAUACGAGCGGCCGAUGUCAGAUUAGCUAGUUGGUGAGGUAAAGGCUCACCAAGGCGACGAUCUGUAGCGGGUCUGAGAGGAUGAUCCGCCACACUGGGACUGAGACACGGCCCAGACUCCUACGGGAGGCAGCGGUGGGGAAUUUUGGACAAUGGGGGCAACCCUGGUCCAGCCAUGCCGCGUGAGUGAAGAAGGCCUUCGGGUUGUAAAGCUCUUUCGGCCGGGAAGAAAUCGCACAGGCUAAUACUCUGUGUGGAUGACGGUACCGGCAUAAGAAGCACCGGCUAACUACGUGCCAGCCGCCGCGGUAA